rnacentral:lncRNA from 1 species
AUGGGAAUCCACUUAGAUGCUGAUGAACUAGAGGAAGCACUGGAGAAUACUACUGUUGAUGAAAAUGGAAUGGUGAAUUUUAAGGUCUAUGCCAAUGAAUUGACAGAGAUGGACAAUUUUAAGGAAUUUCAAAAGAUCGAUGAUGCCUGGAACAUUCUCCAUAAAUUGGGUAAUGGGAAAGUCAAGCCUGAUAAUCUCUCCCAAGCCUUGGGGGAUUUGGGGAUAAAGGUAACUGAUAAAAACCUUAAAGAAGUCCUGAAAUUGAUUCAACCUGAUGAGAAUGGAGAAAUAAAAAUAAUGGAUGUUAUCAAUGUAUUGUCUGCAACUCCAGAAUUAGCAAAGCCUCCUGAUAUGAAAGAUGUCUGGGAUGUUCUCAACAAAGUGGGUGAUGAGAAAGUCAAUAUUGAUGAUGUAUGCAAUACCUUGGAUGACUUGGGGAUUAAGGUAACUGAAGAAGAAUUUCACCAAGUCCUUCAAUCAAUUCAACCUGAGGGUGAGUAUUUGAGCCAAUUAGGUUUUGUCUCCAUUUCUGCAUUGAUGUGA